rnacentral:rRNA from 1 species
GACGAACGCUGGCGGCGUGCUUAACACAUGCAAGUCGAACGAUGAAGCCUAGCUUGCUAGGUGGAUUAGUGGCGAACGGGUGAGUAAUACGUGAGUGACCUACCUUUGACUCUGGGAUAAGCCUGGGAAACUGGGUCUAAUACCGGAUACGACCAAUCUCUGCAUGGGGUGUUGGUGGAAAGCGGUUAUGGAGUGGUUUUAGAUGGGCUCACGGCCUAUCAGCUUGUUGGUGAGGUAAUGGCUUACCAAGGCGACGACGGGUAGCCGGCCUGAGAGGGUGACCGGCCACACUGGGACUGAGACACGGCCCAGACUCCUACGGGAGGCAGCAGUGGGGAAUAUUGCACAAUGGGCGCAAGCCUGAUGCAGCGACGCCGCGUGAGGGAUGACGGCCG